GGCGAACGGGUGAGUAACACGUGAGUAACCUGCCCCAGACUCUGGGAUAAGCCUUGGAAACGAGGUCUAAUACUGGAUAUGAGAUGCCCCUGCAUGGGGAGUGUCUGGAAAGAUUUAUCGGUCUGGGAUGGACUCGCGGCCUAUCAGCUUGUUGGUGGGGUAAUGGCCUACCAAGGCGACGACGGGUAGCCGGCCUGAGAGGGCGACCGGCCACACUGGGACUGAGACACGGCCCAGACUCCUACGGGAGGCAGCAGUGGGGAAUAUUGCACAAUGGGCGCAAGCCUGAUGCAGCGACGCCGCGUGAGGGAUGAAGGCCUUCGGGUUGUAAACCUCUUUCAGCAGGGAAGAAGCGCAAGUGACGGUACCUGCAGAAGAAGCGCCGGCUAACUACGUGCCAGCAGCCGCGGUAAUACGUAGGGCGCAAGCGUUGUCCGGAAUUAUUGGGCGUAAAGAGCUCGUAGGCGGUUUGUCGCGUCUGGUGUGAAAACUCAAGGCUCAACCUUGAGCUUGCAUCGGGUACGGGCAGACUAGAGUGCGGUAGGGGUGACUGGAAUUCCUGGUGUAGCGGUGGAAUGCGCAGAUAUCAGGAGGAACACCGAUGGCGAAGGCAGGUCACUGGGCCGCAACUGACGCUGAGG
rnacentral:rRNA from 1 species